GAUGAACGCUGGCGGCGUGCUUAAUACAUGCAAGUCGAACGGAAAGGCCAUGCUCUUGUGGGGUGCUCGAGAGGCGAACGGGGGAGAAAAACAUGAGUAAAAUCCACUUAACUUUGGGAUAAAUUCAGGAAACUGGGGCUAAUACAGGGUAGGAGAUACUGAUGCAUGGUGGGGGUUGGUGAGAUUCGGCGGUUGUGGCUGGAAUCGAGGCUUAUCAGCUUGUUGGUGGGGUAGUGGCGUACAAAGGCUUUGACGGGUAGGCGGCCUGGGAGCGUGACCGGCCACAUGGCGACUGAGGGACGGCCCAGACUCCUACGUGCCGCAGUAGUGGAGAGUAUUGCACAAUGGGCGGAAGCCUGUUGCAGCAGCGCCGCGAGCGGGAAGACGUCUUUCGAGUUAUAAACCACUUUCUCAGUUGAUGAACCGUGAUUGACGGUAAUUAGUAAAGAAGCACCGGCUAACUACGUG
rnacentral:rRNA from 1 species